GACGAACGCUGGCGGCGUGCUUAACACAUGCAAGUCGAACGGAAAGGCCCUGCUUUUGUGGGGUGCUCGAGUGGCGAACGGGUGAGUAACACGUGAGUAACCUGCCCUUGACUUUGGGAUAACUUCAGGAAACUGGGGCUAAUACCGGAUAGGAGCUCCUGCUGCAUGGUGGGGGUUGGAAAGUUUCGGCGGUUGGGGAUGGACUCGCGGCUUAUCAGCUUGUUGGUGGGGUAGUGGCUUACCAAGGCUUUGACGGGUAGCCGGCCUGAGAGGGUGACCGGCCACAUUGGGACUGCGAUACGGCCCAGACUCCUACGGGCGGCAGCAGUGGGAAACAUUGCACAAUGGGCGGAAGCCAGAUGCAGCAACGCCGCGUGCGGGAUGACGGCUUUCGGGUUGUAAACCGCUUUCGCCUGUGACGAAGCGUGAGUGACGGUAAUGGGUAAAGAAGCACCGGCUAACUACGUG
rnacentral:rRNA from 1 species